GUCAGUGUGGUGUAGUGGCUUCAGCAUUGGACUACAACUCUGGAAACUCGGGUUCAAGUCCCUGCUCAGCCA